rfam:Lactobacillus dextrinicus DSM 20335 NODE_2, whole genome shotgun sequence.
GCGGGCAUAGUUUAGUGGUAAAACGUUAGCUUCCCAAGCUGAAGUCGCGAGUCCGAUUCUCGUUGCCCGCU